CAGUAGCCACGGUAAUACGAAGGGUGCAAGCGUUACUCGGAAUUACUGGGCGUAAAGCGUGUGUAGGUGGUUGUUUAAGUCUGUCGUGAAAGCCCUGGGCUCAACCUGGGAAUUGCGAUGGAUACUGGGCGACUAGAGUGCGGUAGAGGAUAGUGGAAUUUCCGGUGUAGCAGUGAAAUGCGUAGAGAUCGGAAGGAACACCUGUGGCGAAGGCGACUAUCUGGGCCAACACUGACACUGAGACACGAAAGCGUGGGGAGCAAACAGGAUUAGAUACCCGCGUAGUCCCUGUCUCUUAUAC
rnacentral:rRNA from 1 species